rnacentral:rRNA from 1 species
UACGAAGGGGGCUAGCGUUGCUCGGAAUCACUGGGCGUAAAGGGUGCGUAGGCGGGUCUUUAAGUCAGAGGUGAAAUCCUGGAGCUCAACUCCAGAACUGCCUUUGAUACUGAAGAUCUUGAGUUCGGGAGAGGUGAGUGGAACUGCGAGUGUAGAGGUGAAUUCGUAGAUAUUCGCAAGAACACCAGUGGCGAAGGCGGCUCACUGGCCCGAUACUGACGCUGAGGCACGAAGCGUGGGAGCAACA